rnacentral:RNase_P_RNA from 1 species
UGAGGAAGACAGGCAAUCGCGAGCUGCAAAGCUCGAGGAAAGUCCGAACUCCAGAGAGCAGGAUGCUGGCUAACGGCCAGUGAGGGUGACCUCAAGGAAAGUGCCACAGAAACAUACCGCCCGGUAACAUCAUUACGCCAUAACUUGUUGCCGGGUAAGGGCGAAAUGGUGAGGUAAGAGCUCACCAGCAGUCAGGUGACUGACUGGCUGGGUAAACCCCAUCCGGAGCAAGACCGAACAGGAGGAAUAGCAGGUCCCUU